rnacentral:rRNA from 1 species
AGAGUUUGAUCCUGGCUCAGAACGAACGCUGGCGGCAGGCUUAACACAUGCAAGUCGAACGGGCGUAGCAAUACGUCAGUGGCGGACGGGUGAGUAACACGUGGGAAUAUGCCUUUCGGUUCGGAACAACUCGGGGAAACCCGUGCUAAUUCCGGAUACGCCCUUACGGGGAAAGAUUUAUCGCCGAAAGAUUAGCCCGCGUUGGAUUAGCUUGUUGGUGAGGUAAAGGCUCACCAAGGCGACGAUCCAUAGCUGGUUUGAGAGAACGACCAGCCACACUGGGACUGAGACACGGCCCAGACUCCUACGGGAGGCAGCAGUGGGGAAUCUUGGACAAUGGAGGAAACUCUGAUCCAGCCAUGCCGCGUGAGUGAUGAAGGCCUUCGGGUUGUAAAACUCUUUUGGCGGGGACGAUAAUGACGGUACCCGCAGAAUAAGCUCCGGCUAACUUCGUGCCAGCAGCCGCGGUAAUACGAAGGGGGCUAGCGUUGUUCGGAAUUACUGGGCGUAAAGCGUGCGCAGGCGGCUUCUCAAGUCAGGGGUGAAAGCCCAGAGCUCAACUCUGGAAUUGCCUUUGAGACUGAGUGGCUUGAGUACGAGAGAGGUGAGUGGAAUUCCCAGUGUAGAGGUGAAAUUCGUAGAUAUUGGGAAGAACACCGGUGGCGAAGGCGGCUCACUGGCUCGUAACUGACGCUCAUGCACGACAGCGUGGGGAUCAAACAGGAUUAGAUACCCUAGUAGUCC